rnacentral:ribozyme from 11 species
UUUUUUUUUUCCUUUCUUUCUUUCUUUCUUUCUUUCUUUUUCUAAGCAGCAAGGCGCAAGAAAGUCAAGGAAAAGGGUGAGGAAGGAUGGAUUGACGAGAGCAAAG